rnacentral:rRNA from 1 species
GAUGAACGCUGGCGGCGUGCCUAAUACAUGCAAGUAGAACGCUGAAGGAAGGAGCUUGCUCUUUCCGGAUGAGUUGCGAACGGGUGAGUAACGCGUAGGUAACCUGCCUGGUAGCGGGGGAUAACUAUUGGAAACGAUAGCUAAUACCGCAUAACAGUAGAUGUUGCAUGAUAUCUACUUAAAAGGUGCAAUUGCACCACUACCAGAUGGACCUGCGUUGUAUUAGCUAGUUGGUGAGGUAACGGCUCACCAAGGCGACGAUACAUAGCCGACCUGAGAGGGUGAUCGGCCACACUGGGACUGAGACACGGCCCAGACUCCUACGGGAGGCAGCAGUAGGGAAUCUUCGGCAAGGGACGGAAGUCUGACCGAGCAACGCCGCGUGAGUGAAGAAGGUUGUCGGAUCGUAAAGCUCUGUUGUAAGAGAAGAACGAGUGUGAGAGUGGAAAGUUCACACUGUGACGGUAUCUUACCAGAAAGGGACGGCUAACUACGUG